AAGAGAGAAGCGGAGGAAGGUUUGGGGAGGAGAAAAAAACAAAGAGCAGAGAGGAUGAAGAGCGGCCUCAAUGUGUUGCUCCCCGCGACACAUCGCCUUCUAGUGAUGCCACAGAAUCUCAGCGCCAUCGCCACGACGACGACGACGACGACGGCCAAAACUGCAGAAACAAGGACGGAAAAUUUGCCCUUCAAGAAUGUGUUUUACUAAUCGCUGCACAACCAGCAGGAAGCUGCUGACAGAAACACACACAAGAUUCAAGACAAUCCUACUGCCCACACACUGGCACACACACACACACACACACACUUCAGUCUUCACCAGCAGAUCUCCGUGCUGGGAGCUUAUAUAAGGGGGAGUGGGAGGCUGAGAGCUAUUUCAGGACCCAAAAAGACGCGUGUGUGUGUGUGUGCGUGGCUAUGGUACCCAUAUGGAUUUGUAUUGGUGCAGCUGUGUGUGUGUGUGUGUGUGUGUGUGUAGGACUAUAAGGGCUCUGAUUCAAUGGGUUUCAUAACCAGUGAAGUUUGAGGUGAAGUUUGGCUCAGAGACGCUCUGUUCCUACGACGCGUUCACUCAAACCCCAGAGCUGCACACACACACACACGCACACACACACACACGCACACACGCACACGCACACAGUAAAAAAGAGCCAGCGAUCCCACAGAGCUGCGUAGCAACUGGAGAAAUGCCCACGUGUUACUUGUUGCAGCUCACCAGACGUGUCGAGUGCACCCGCAGCCCCCUUCUAUUAAUUGCAGCCUUCUCUGCCCCCAGAGACCCCCCGGCUCUGACUGAUGUCAUGUGGAGGCCGUUUAAGGCUCCACGACUUCCUGUCAGAGACACAUUUCUUACACAACCGUUGGAGGGUGUUUAGUGGAAGCAACACAGAGGAAGGACGUUGCCUGAGAGGACAAGCGGAGCAAUUAUUGGACAACUUCUAACGCUUUGUCUAUAAUGUCUCCUCAAACAACGGGACGGACACGAAAAACAUUCAUGGUCCCCAACAGGACAGAGCCCGAUCACUGAUCAAACCAAACACGCCUCGUGUCCUCAAAGUGGAGUGUGGAGACCCACAUCUGAUUCGGUUACAUAAUACCGGCAGAGGACCAACGGAGAGGAAGACAAACCCGCUACGGCGAAGGCCGAGAGGCUCGAUGGGACAAUAAAACGCGUUACGGGACUCGGACUGACGUCACAGCCUCCGGCGCCGGACUGAUACACACGUGAUCAAUACCUUUACAUGAGAUGGUUUUCAUGACGAGUAUAUUGAUCGUGGUGAUGUCACGGGGGAAAAGGUCUCUAAGAAGGUAGUUGUAGUAAGUAGUUUAUUUAAAUCUAUUUUAUCUAUAUUUUUUAGAUAGUCACCGUUUUUUUUGUUUUUUAAUCAAGUAGAAAACUGUAGCAGCAUGUAUAUAUAUAUAUAUAUAUAUAUAUAUAUAUAUAUAUAUAUAUAAAAAACACAGGAACAAGGUAAUGGACAUGAAAUCAUGUUUUUCACAACGUUCUUCCAUCUAGUGGUGAUUCAGCUGAAUCACAUCACAUUUCUGUGUCCUUUAAUGCGCGGUGACAUAAUUGUGUUAUUUAUUAUAUUGACAUGUUAAAAUGUAAAAGCUCAGCAGGUUUGAUUCCUGUUGUCUCACACGGAAGUGGGGUACAGCGCCUGUCAAUCACAGGAGGGAUUUGCGACAUCACGCCACCAAAUACCGUGUGAUGAACUCAACCCGUGACGGCAACAAACCAAGUGAUGGAUCUCAACUAGAAUGAUGAGUAAAAAACAAAACAAAAGAGGUGACGGGUAUUAAAGUCAGAGGUUUACCACAAGCACUGCAGCAGCACGCUGUCGGUGUACUGGAACACGGGAGCAGCCAGAGAGGAAGCAACCAGGAGCAGCUGGAUGGCUGUGUUCACCUGAAAACCAUCAUCAUCAUCAUCAUCAUCAUCAUCACCACAAAAAGAUCUACACACAACUUGCUUCUCUGGCGUGACGCAAUUGAAUAUGAUCUCAAAUAAAAGAACAUGGAUGAACGUAA